rnacentral:rRNA from 1 species
AUUGAACGCUGGCGGCAUGCUUUACACAUGCAAGUCGAACGGCAGCGCGGGCUUCGGCCUGGCGGCGAGUGGCGAACGGGUGAGUAAUGCAUCGGAACGUGCCCAGUAGUGGGGGAUAGCCCGGCGAAAGCCGGAUUAAUACCGCAUACGACCUGAGGGUGAAAGCGGGGGACCGAAAGGCCUCGCGCUAUUGGAGCGGCCGAUGUCGGAUUAGCUAGUUGGUGGGGUAAAGGCUUACCAAGGCGACGAUCCGUAGCUGGUCUGAGAGGACGGCCAGCCACACUGGAACUGAGACACGGCCCAGACUCCUACGGGAGGCAGCAGUGGGGAAUUUUGGACAAUGGGGGCAACCCUGAUCCAGCCAUGCCGCGUGCGGGAAGAAGGCCUUCGGGUUGUAAACCGCUUUUGUUCGGGAAGAAAUCCUCUGGGCUAAUACCCCGGGGGGAUGACGGUACCGGAAGAAUAAGCACCGGCUAACUACGUG